rnacentral:rRNA from 1 species
UACGUAGGGACCAAGCGUUGUUCGGAUUUACUGGGCGUAAAGGGCGCGUAGGCGGCGUGACAAGUCACUUGUGAAAUCUCCGGGCUUAACUCGGAACGGUCAAGUGAUACUGUUGUGCUAGAGUAUAGAAGGGGCAAUCGGAAUUCUUGGUGUAGCGGUGAAAUGCGUAGAUAUCAAGAGGAACACCAGAGGCGAAGGCGGAUUGCUAGGCUAAUAACUGACGCUGAGGCGACGAAAGCUAGGGUAGCAAACGGG